rnacentral:rRNA from 1 species
UACGGGAGGCAGCAGUGGGGAAUAUUGCACAAUGGACGAAAGUCUGAUGCAGCAAUGCCGCGUGUGUGAAGAAGGCCUUCGGGUUGUAAAGCACUUUCAGAUGUGAGGAAAAGCAGU